AUCCUGGAGAUCCUGGAUGUGGAGGAGCCACAUGAUGGAAGGAGUGUGGAUCCAAUCACUCUUGAAGAAGAGCCACUGACUGGAAUUGGACUGUGAAAAAAUCUUGGAUCAAGAGUGGGAAGAGUCCUCAAGAAAAUAUCCAGUUUAAAAAUAUCCAGUUUAACUACCCAACUUACAGAUUAAGAAACAGAGGCCCAGGAGGAGAACCUUGGCAUUCUUCUCUUUAUCACAAUUCAUUGCCAGGAGAGGAAAGAAUGAUGAUUGUUUUCAAAUGAUAUGGGGAAUGUAAAGCACAUCGGGAAUAGAAUGUCAUGCCCAGGAUUUCCAAACAGAAAGGGCUUUUGCAAUUAUGAGCACAAGGUAGGCAACUCAAUGCAGACUGCAUGUUUCUGCAGUUGAAAUCUCGGCUUUCUUUCUGUCCUGUAUUUCCAUGUGGGACAUGCUGAAAACUAUAUGUCUUCCCUGUUCUAGCACCUUACUAGUUUUUGUUUUUCCCCCUGUAAAAUAAGAUACCAGUUUACAAGACCCUCUACAAAAUUACAAGUCUGCCUUGGCAUUGGAAUGGGAGCAACUCCUUCUGUUAAAGGUAUUUAACAUUCAUCAUUUAUCAUGAGUGUGCAGGGUAGUUAGAAAACCAUGAUAUACAAGGCUGUGAUGUCCCUGGUCUAGAAUUAAGAAACUAAUUGAGCAAAUGUGACCAAGGAGAGCAGCAUGCGUAAGGGGUGCAAUUAAAGAAAUAAUAAGCU